UGUCUGGUGAAAUACAGAAACAGCGCGAGUCAAACCCUCUUCCUCAGGAGCUCUCCUCUGAGAUCUGCUUCCCCGGGAGACACCUCCUGCUCACUGCUGUGACAUUUUAACUGACUGCUUUGCAGCCCUGAUGAGCUUGGCUUUGAGUGUCUCCCUGGAGGAGGGAAGACUAAGUGAUGGGAACACAGCAGGAGCCUUCAUCCAAUAACUGAUGGAAACUGAUGCAGAGAUCCACAGCCAAGCACCAGGCCGAGCUCCAGGAGUCCAGUCAAAGAGAGAGAGAAGAAGGAUUCUAUGAGCAAGGGGCAUUAAGAUCAUGAUGGGGAAACCUACAGAGACAACCAAACCAAACUAGUGGGAAUUCAUGAACUUUAGACCAACAGCUACAGAACCUCCAUGGGACUGGACUAAGCCCUCUGCAUAGGCGAGACAGUUGUGCAGCUUGAUCUGCUAAAGGGGCCCCGGUAGUAGGAUCAGGAUCCAUCCCUGGUGCAUGAUCUGGCUUUUUUGAGCCUAUGGUGGGAUACCUUGCACAGCCUUGAUGCAUGGGGAGGGGCUUGGAUCUAUCUCUACUGAAUCUACCAGGUUCUGCUGACUCCUCAUUGAAGACCUUACCUUGUUGGAGGAGGGAGUGAGUUGUGGGCCAUGUGGAAAGGCUGGAGGAGUGGG